GACGAACGCUGGCGGCGUGCUUAACACAUGCCAGUCGAACGGAAAGGCCCUGCUUUUGUGGGGUGCUCGAGUGGAGAAGGGGUGACUAACACGUGAGUAACCUGUCCUUGACUGUGGGAUAACUUAAGGAAACUGGGGCUAAUACCGGAUAGGAGCUCCUGCUGCAUGGUGGGGGUUGGAAAGUUUCGGCGGUUGGGGAUGGACUCGCGGCUUAUUAGGUUGUUGGUGGGGUAGUGGCUUACCAAGGCAAGGACGCGUAGCCGGCCUGGGAGGGUGACCGGCCACGUUGGGACUGGGCUACGGCCCAGACUCGUACGCGACGCAGCGGUGGAGAGGAGUACCCAAGGGGCGGGAGCCUGAUGUGGCAACGCCGCGUGCGGUAUGACGGCCUGCGGGUUGGAAUCCGCUUUCGCCUGUGACGAGGCGUGAGUGACGGUAAUGGGUAAAGAAGCACCGGCUAACUACGUG
rnacentral:rRNA from 1 species